GGCAUAAGCCAGCUUGACUGCGAGCGUGACGGCGCGAGCAGGUGCGAAAGCAGGUCAUAGUGAUCCGGUGGUUCUGAAUGGAAGGGCCAUCGCUCAACGGAUAAAAGCUACCCCGGGGAUAACAGGCUGAUACCGCCCAAGAGUUCAUAUCGACGGCGGUGUUUGGCACCUCGAUGUCGGCUCAUCACAUCCUGGGGCUGAAGUAGGUCCCAAGGGUAUGGCUGUUCGCCAUUUAAAGUGGUACGCGAGCUGGGUUCAGAACGUCGUGAGACAGUUCGGUCCCUAUCUGCCGUGGGCGCUGGAGAACUGAGGGGGGCUGCUCCUAGUACGAGAGGACCGGAGUGGACGCAUCACUGGUGUUCGGGUUGUCAUGCCAAUGGCACUGCCCGGUAGCUAAAUGCGGAAGAGAUAAGUGCUGAAAGCAUCUAAGCACGAAACUUGCCCCGAGAUGAGUUCUCCCUGAGACUUAGAGUCUCCUGAAGGAACGUUGAAGACGACGACGUUGAUAGGCCGGGUGUGUAAGCGCAGCGAUGCGUUGAGCUAACCGGUACUAAUG
rnacentral:rRNA from 1 species